AUCUGACCUCGGAAGCUCGUACAACACAGGAAAGUUGUCAUCACUCCAUCAUUCGGGACAAAAGCCUCUUCACUAAAAAGCAUUGUCAUCUACAUUGGCGACACCGGGAGUUACCAGACCGACACUUUUGCGCUGCAGAGAAACACCAGUUACGUAACGCCUUACACUGCUGAAACAUUCAACGUUAACGGACAAGGCCGCUAUGUUACCAUUUAUAGAUCUUACUCGGUUGGAGGAUCCAUCUGCAUAUGCCACCUGCAAAUCCACGGCUUCUCGUGAGAGAUAAAACUAAGGUUGCUGUUUACUUGAAAAUGAUACACAAGAUUACGAGGUUAUUCACUAUACAGAGAAAAGAAAUUUCGAAAGAAAAUUGCUGAUACAAUGUCAAGGAGCAAUGCAUGGUAUUCAAUUAAGGUCGUUAGCAAUGCACAGAGCGCUCUAAUACUUUUCACCAGAAGUGUUAUGAAUUUUGUGAUCCCGAGAUAAUGACUGAAAAGCCUUAUCAUAAAUUAUCUGCCGAUG